GUUCACUGCUGCAUAGGCAGCUUAGAAA
rfam:Vibrio sp. MEBiC08052 genomic scaffold scaffold00001, whole genome shotgun sequence.